GGGACCUGAAGAUAUAUUUUAAAAGAAUGCGAAAUGCAGUAUUUGCUUAUAAGAAAAUAAAGUCGGCCAGUCGCAGUGGCUCACGCCUGUAAUCCCAGCACUUUGGGAGGCCUAGGCCAGCGGAUCACCUGAGAUCGGGAGUUCGAGACCAGCCUGACCAACAUGGAGAAACCCCAUUUCAACUAAAAAUACAAAAUUAGCUAGGGGUGGUGGCGCAUGCUUGUAAUCCCAGCUACUCAGGGGGCUGAGGCAGGAGAAUUGCCUCAACCCUGGAGGCAGAGGUUGUGGUGAGCCGAGAUCGUGCCAUUGCACUCCAGCCUGGGCAACAAGAGCGAAACUCCAUCUCAAAAAUAAAUAAAUAAAAAUAAGAAAUAAAGUCAAUGGUAGUUUACACUUUCUCAAAGUGACAUAAUCAGUGGUGGAAUUAUAUAUUGUAUCUAGCUAUUUCCUGAACAAUCUAUCACCUUUGAAUAAACCCUGCCUGGGCCUUUUUGGUCCUGGCUGCCCUGUUUCUGCUAUACUGCAUUCUCACCGGCCCCAGUUUAUUGGAUCAGAGGUGGAUAUCUGACCAAGGAGAAACAAGCUAUUUCAGCCAAUCAGACUCUCUGACUCAAUAUUUUAGUACCUGAACUGCAUUAAUGAUGCAGCACUGGACUCUUUGUACUGACAGUCCAGAACUGUAUUGAUUCUUGUCUUUCCUGAGAUUAUUCCAUUUCCUUUUCCUUGUAGACCAUGGGGUGAUAUUUUUAUAAUGCUCCUUUUAAAGUAAUUUAUUAUUUAAAGACACAUAUACAGAUGGUAAAAUCUAUAAAGAAUAACGAGAAUAAUUAUCUCAAAGAGCAGCAUAAUGGUUGCCUCUGAAGGAGAGGGAGGGAGAUAUUUUCAGACAGGGGCAAAUAUGGACUUUUUUUUUUUUUUUUUUUUGGACAAGAGACUCGCUGUGUCGCCCGGGCUGGAGUGCAGUGGUGCGAUCUCAGCUCACUGCAAGCUCCGCCUCCCAGGUUCACGCCAUUCUCCUGCCUCAGCCUUCCGAGUAGCUGGGACUACAGGAGCCCAUCACCACGCCAAAUAAGGGCCUUUUAAGGUACAGCUGUGCUGUAUUCAUUACCUGAUGGUGGUUACUCUAGAGUUACUUUUAAUAUUCGUACAUGUAUAUUUCAUAUACUCUUGUUCCAUAAGACGCAAUUUCUCAAAGAUUUUUAACUUGAGCUAAUUUAGUGGGUUUCUAUUCCUUUCAAGCAAACAUAUUUCAAGACCCAUUAUUAUUUCAAGACCUAUCAUUAUUAAAGAUAAUUUAGUAGUAGUGGUAUUCAUUCAAAUAAAUAAAGUGUGUGUGUGUGUCUGUGUGUGUUUAAAGCAUGCUAUUCAAAUCUCACUGAACUCUAGGAUUAGAAUAAACCUUAGGAAUGUUCUAGCUUGUUCAAGGUCUAACAAAAGAAAAGAAAAUUGAGAGCCAACUCAGAAUCCUGAGAUUUUUCUACCAAGCUACAUCACUUUCCUAAUACAAGAGACAGCAAUCAUAUCAGCAAGAAAUGCAUAUUUCAAAGAUUAAAUUAUUUUUAAUGCUUAUUUUAUUCUUAGAAAACUUAACUGCUGGCCGGGCGUGGUGGCUCAUGCCUAUAAUCCCAGCACUUUGGGAGGCCGAGGCGGGUGGAUCACAAGGUCAAGAGAUCGAGACCAUCUUGGCCAACCUGGUGAAACCCCGUCUCUACUAAAAAUACAAAAAAAAAAAAAAAAAAAAAAAAAAUUAGCCAGGCAUGGUGGCAGGUGCCUGUAAUCCCAGCUACUUGGGAGGCUGAGGCAGAAGAAUCACUUGAACCCAGGAGGCAGAGGUUGCAGUGAGCCGAGAUCAUGCCAUUGCACUCCAGCCUGGGCAAAAAGAGCAAAACUCUGUCUCAAAAACACAAAAACAAAAACAGAAAACUUAACUGCCUCAGUACUGAAAAUAAAUUAUCUUAUGUAAUAUAACAUCUAUACAUAAGCAACAUUUUAUAUCAUGAUUGCUGGAUAUCAAGAACAUCCAGAAAAGAAAUUACUGCAAUUUAAAAUGGAAUUUUACUGAC
rnacentral:lncRNA from 1 species